rnacentral:snRNA from 1 species
GGAUUUAAGGUUGUUCUGGCUGCAACAUCUGUCAUGCCAUUGAUCAACAGGGUUGAUCCAGCCCAUCUGGCCAGCUAGGCCAGGUCCCCACUCCCUCACCAAUCUCUGUGCGCCCUCUGGAAGCUGUGCACUUGGUCCAAGAGGAUGACCUUCUCCCCAUGAGAAUAGGGCCAGUCUUCAGUAAAGGUUAUACAAGGAGCUGUGCCCCCCUGCUAGAACCUCCAAACAAGCUCUCAAAACAUACAGUACACGUGAAAAAGAAAAUAACAAAAUCAAGUUAAGGGGAUAACAUGUAUAAAACAAUAAUGUGAAAUAUUUUCUGAUAUUUCCUG